rnacentral:rRNA from 1 species
AACGAACGCUGGCGGCAUGCCUAACACAUGCAAGUCGAACGAGACCUUCGGGUCUAGUGGCGCACGGGUGCGUAACGCGUGGGAACCUGCCUUUAGGUUCGGAAUAACUCCCCGAAAGGGGUGCUAAUACCGGAUAAUGUCUUCGGACCAAAGAUUUAUCGCCUUUAGAUGGGCCCGCGUUGGAUUAGCUAGUUGGUGGGGUAAAGGCCUACCAAGGCGACGAUCCAUAGCUGGUCUUAGAGGAUGAUCAGCCACACUGGGACUGAGACACGGCCCAGACUCCUACGGGAGGCAGCAGUGGGGAAUAUUGGACAAUGGGCGAAAGCCUGAUCCAGCAAUGCCGCGUGAGUGAUGAAGGCCUUAGGGUUGUAAAGCUCUUUUACCAGGGAUGAUAAUGACAGUACCUGGAGAAUAAGCUCCGGCUAACUCCGUGCCAGCCGCCGCCGUAACAC